rnacentral:rRNA from 1 species
UAACACGUGGGAAUCUCCCCUUCAGUUCGGAACAACCGCGGGAAACUGCGGCUAAUACCGGAUACGGACUACGGUCGAAAGAUUUAUCGCUGAAGGAUGAGCCCGCGCCGGAUUAGCUAGUUGGUAGGGUAACGGCCUACCAAGGCAACAAUCCGUAGCUGGUCUGAGAGGACGACCAGCCACACUGGGACUGAGAUACGGCCCAGACUCCUACGGGAGGCAGCAGUGAGGAAUAUUGGACAAUGGACGAAAGUCUGAUCCAGCCAUGCCGCGUGAGUGAUGAAGGCCUUAGGGUUGUAAAGCUCUUUCGGCGGGGAAGAGAAUGACGGUACCCGCAGAAGAAGCCCCGGCUAACUCCGUGCCAGCAGCCGCGGUAAUACGGAGGGGGCUAGCGUUGUUCGGAAUUACUGGGCGUAAAGCGCGCGUAGGCGGCCUGAAAAGUCAGGUGUGAAAUCCCAGGGCUUAACCCUGGAAUAGCACUUGAAACUGACAGGCUAGGGUUCGGUAGGGGACAGUGGAAUUCCUAGUGUAGCGGUGAAAUGCGUAGAUAUUAGGAGGAACACCAGAGGCGAAGGCGACUGUCUGGGCCGAUACUGACGCUAAGGCGCGAAAGCGUGGGGAGCAAACAGGAUUAGAUACCCUGGUAGUCCACGCCGUAAACGAUGAGUGUUAGGCGUCGGGCCUUUGAAGGCAGGCAUUAGGCACUAGGCUUUAGGCGUUAGGGAAAAACCUAAUGCCUAAUCC